rnacentral:rRNA from 1 species
GACGAACGCUGGCGGCGUGCCUAAUACAUGCAAGUCGAACGAGAGCGACCGGUGCUUGCACUGGUCAAUCUAGUGGCGAACGGGUGAGUAACACGUGGGUAACCUGCCCAUCAGAGGGGGAUAACAUCCGGAAACGGAUGCUAAAACCGCAUAGGUCUUCGAGCCGCAUGGCUUGAAGAGGAAAAGAGGCGCAAGCUUCUGCUGAUGGAUGGACCCGCGGUGCAUUAGCUAGUUGGUGAGGUAACGGCUCACCAAGGCCGUGAUGCAUAGCCGACCUGAGAGGGUGAUCGGCCACAUUGGGACUGAGACACGGCCCAAACUCCUACGGGAGGCAGCAGUAGGGAAUCUUCCGCAAUGGACGCAAGUCUGACGGAGCAACGCCGCGUGAGUGAAGAAGGUUUUCGGAUCGUAAAACUCUGUUGUUAGAGAAGAACAAGUGCUAGAGUAACUGUUAGCGCCUUGACGGUAU